rnacentral:rRNA from 1 species
AGUAAUGUCUGGGAAACUGCCUGAUGAGGGGGGAUAACUACUGGAAACGGUAGCUAAUACCGCAUAACGUCGCAAGACCAAGUGGGGGACCUUCGGGCCUCAUGCCAUCAGAUGUGCCCAGAUGGGAUUAGCUAGUAGGUGGGGUAACGGCUCACCUAGGCGACGAUCCCUAGCUGGUCUGAGAGGAUGACCAGCCACACUGGAACUGAGACACGGUCCAG